rnacentral:lncRNA from 1 species
CUCAACUGUAUGAAGAAGAGCAACAUGGUAACUACAGACCAGUAAACCAAUAUGGGUGUGGUAGUGCACACCUGUAAUCCAAGCUACUUGGGAGGCUGAGGCGGGAGAAUCGCUUGAACCCUGGAGGCAGAGGUUGCAAUGAGCCAAGACUGUGCCACUGCACUCCAGCCUGGGCGACAGAGUGGACCCUGUCUCAAAAUAAAUAAAUAGUAAAUAAAUAACUGUCCACUAGGGAUCUCAAGGCCAGGUUGCCAGUGGUCAGUGGUGGCUAUUUUUCAUGUCAUUGUACUAUCUCUUACCAUCUGACCAGACUCAUCCUUCCAUUCCAUCCGCCUACCCCCUGUCUCUGAGUCAUCAGAUGACUAAGCAUACCUAUGGGUUGGUACUGUUGGCGUGAAUGCGGUGAUUCAGGUCGUAAGUGGGCCCACCACACAGAAGGCUCCCGAAAAGAUCCUCGGGGAAAAUGGACAGACAUCAUUAGUGAAAGAGAAAAGCAAAGUAUCCCCAAAGCCUACCCAUUAAUAGUGGUCUGAACACAGGGCAUUGCCGCAUUACUCUUCCUGGCUCCCUAAUUCCCAUGUGUGUGAAGUGUGACUGUAAUUACGAUGAAAGCUAAAUGAAUUAAAUAUGAUUUUCUUUUUUUUUUUUUUUUUUUGGAGACGGAGUCUCGCUCUGUUGCCCAGGCUGGAUGUGGCGUGAUCUCGGCUCACUGUAACCUCUACCUCCCGGGUUCAAGCGAUGCUCCUGCCUCAGCCUCCUGAGUAGCUGGAACUAUAGGCACCCACCACCACACCCAGCUACUUUUUUUAUUUUUAGUAGAGAUGGGGUUUCACUAUUUUGGCCAGGCUGGUCUCGAAAUCCUGACCUCAGGUGAUCCACCUGCCUUGGCCUCCCAAAGUGCUGGGAUUACAGGCAUGAGCCACUGCUCCCAGCCAAUUUUCUUUAGUAUCUCAUCUUUUAGCAUGACACCAAUGGACAAGUCUAAUGGGAAUUACAAUAACAUGGAAAUUGGAUCUUUCCUACCGUCAGCAAAAAUGUCAAGACCACAAAAGACAAAACAAACAAACAAAAAACUAUCUAAGCGAAUAAAAUAGUAGAGGCAAACAGAAAUAUGAGAACAAAGGCAUCUAAAAAAGAUGCUUAAGAAAAAAACUUUGGGGAGGCCGAGGCAGGCGGGAUCACUUGAGUUUCAGGAGUUCGAGGCCAGCCUGGCCAACAUGGUGAAACCCUGUCUCUACUUAAAAAAAAAAAAAAAAAAAAAAAAAAAAACAAAAAUUAGCUGGAUGUGGUGGCAGGAAACUGUAAUCCCAGCUACUCAG